GAUAGCACCACUGCCCUCCAGCCUGGGCAACAGAGUGAGACCCUGUCUCAAAAAAAAAAAAGGACAGUAAGAAGUUCUAAACAUUUUUUUUCUAAACAAAGGAAUGUUUUAUUCAAAUAAAACUUUAACAAAAAUCUAAUAUAUAAGGAACUGCAGUGGCUGAAGAUGGAUGAGAAAGAGGGACGCCCUGACAACCACCAGAACAGCCAUGCAUUCAGUAGACUGAGGGGCCUGACAUCAAUUCUUGCCUUCUGUGUAUUCUGGGCCUGGAAAUAAGAAGCCACAUCUGAGGUGCACAAUUCAGCUGGCUACCCCACUUGGCUACAGAGUACUAAAGAAGAGACUGAACUUGAUCCUGCUGCCCUUGCAUACACAACACUCCCAUUGACGCCAGUGAAGACUUAAGUGCAUGAAAGGAUUCCAGGAUCAAAAGGCAACUUGUGAAAAAGUGAGAAGGCAUCUAAUUGAACUAUAUCCAGAGGAGAUCAUGGCAGAGACCAACAGGAAGAAAAACAUUUCCAAACCACAGUGAUAUUGGUCAAAUCAAUUGUAUUUGAAAAAUAAAGCUUUUGAGGUGUCGGCUGAG
rnacentral:lncRNA from 1 species